CUGGCGGUAGGCCUAACACAUGCAAGUCGAACGGCAGCACAGGAGAGCUUGCUCUCUGGGUGGCGAGUGGCGGACGGGUGAGGAAUACAUCGGAAUCUACUCUGUCGUGGGGGAUAACGUAGGGAAACUUACGCUAAUACCGCAUACGACCUACGGGUGAAAGCAGGGGAUCUUCGGACCUUGCGCGAUUGAAUGAGCCGAUGUCGGAUUAGCUAGUUGGCGGGGUAAAGGCCCACCAAGGCGACGAUCCGUAGCUGGUCUGAGAGGAUGAUCAGCCACACUGGAACUGAGACACGGUCCAGACUCCUACGGGAGGCAGCAGUGGGGAAUAUUGGACAAUGGGCGCAAGCCUGAUCCAGCCAUACCGCGUGGGUGAAGAAGGCCUUCGGGUUGUAAAGCCCUUUUGUUGGGAAAGAAAUCCAGC
rnacentral:rRNA from 1 species